UAGUCAGCACGAGCGCACCCUCGUCCUUAGUUGCCAGCACGUAAUGGUGGGGACUCUAGGGAGACAAACUCUUUUUAAGAGUGGGAAGGUGGGGAUGACGUCAAGUCAGUAUGGCCCUUACGUCCAGGGCUACACACGUGCUACAAUGCCCGGUACAAUGAGAGGCCAAACCGUGAGGUGGAGCAAACCUAUAAAACCGGGCUCAGUUCGGAUUGGAGUCUGCAACUCGACUCCAUGAAGUCGGAAUCGCUAGUAAUGGCGCAUCAGCAAUGGCGCCGUGAAUACGUUCCCGGGCCUU
rnacentral:rRNA from 1 species